CGAGCUGGCCGGGCAGUCGCUGUUUGUCCUGAUUCUUACCAAUUGGGAUGGAUGGAGGAAAGUCCGGGCUCCAGAGGGUAGGGCGCCAGGUAACGCCUGGGGGGCGAAAGCCUACGGAAAGUGCAGCAGAGAGUAGACCGCCCAAGUUGGUUUUCUUGUUGGUUAAACGACAGGAAUUCUGACCGGUAAGGGUGAAAGGGUGCGGUAAGAGCGCACCGCAUGGCUGGUAACAGUCCAUGGCAUGGUAAACCCCGCCUGGAGCAAGACCAAAUAGGAAUCCUAUAGGUGUGACCCACACUGGAUUCGGGUAGGUUGCUUGAGGUGUCUGGUGACAGACAUCCCAGAUGAAUGACUGCACAGGCCUGCUUUGGCAGGCUGGACAGAACCCGGCUUAUAGGCCGGCUCGCUUC
rnacentral:RNase_P_RNA from 1 species